ACAGGUUCAUCAUUUGAUGUCGUUUCAUCAUUUCUUUGUGUGAAGAGUCAAGAACAGUAGCUGGGUGACACUGAAGAUGAACCCUCCUCCAGCUUUAGUGACUAUGAUGUUGUUCAUGCUUGGGAGGAUCCAUGGAGACUCCGUGACACAGAAACAAGGUCAAGUGACCCUCUCAGAAGGCAAUUUUCUAUUUAUAAACUGCAUGUUCUCAGCCACAGGGUUCCCAACUCUUUUCUGGUAUGUUCGAUAUCCUGGAGAAGGCCCACAUCUCCUCCUGAAAGUCAUCACAGCUGGCGAGAAGGGAAGCAGCAGAGGGUUUGGAGCCACAUAUGAUAAAGGAACCACCUCCUUCCACUUGCAGAAAGCCUCGGUGCAGGAGUCAGACUCGGCUGUGUACUACUGUGCUCUGACUGACACAGUGGCAGACACUGCGGGGGGGGGGGGUGUUGAGCACAAACCCUGA